GGAGGAACCGCGUGUUGGUGAUG
rnacentral:siRNA from 1 species